UCUCUGUUACUAAGAGCUUGACUGGCAUGCUCAGCACAAUGUGACACACAGGAAGACACACAUCUUUCCUCAUGGUGCACAAUGGAAGGUUAAAUUCGGGGCUGAUGUCUUAGUGGGUGUAACGUACCCACACCCUUCCAGAGUCCUCAGCGGAGAAUGGUCUAAAUUCACCAGAUCGACCACAUGACCCUUCAGAGCUUGGGAGCCUCUCGGCCCCCACGCCCCAGCCUACUAAACUAAUUGUCCCUGACAAAUGUUUCCUAUAUUGGCAACUGUGAGAGCACAAGAGUCACAUGGAAAGUGACUACCAUAGCGCAUGAAAAGGGGAAUGUUGGUGGUGAUUGUGUUGUUGCUGAUUGCAAUUGCUGUGGUUGCCGUCUGGCCAACACACUAACACAAGUACAGGAACCAUCAGAGAUGCCACUUAGCAGCAGCAGCAACAGCAGAGCUGGACAAUAUCAGAGGAUGCGAACAACUCCAUUGCAAACACGUUUUGUGUGUUAAGUAAACUCAGUAUUAGAAUGAAGAUGUUGCUGCACGCAAUGCACAGCCAGAGGGUUGUGGCUAGUUUGGAGCAUUUGAACUUCAAAAGGACUCUUUUCCUUCCUUGAUUUUGUACUUCAGAGGGACACAGCUGGAGAAGAUGCAUCUUUUAAGAGAUUUACCCUUCAGUGCAACUGACUCUAAGCAAGCAAUCUGCCCCUUUUGUUGAGAGAUCAGUCAUCCUGAGGGUUUAAUGUACUGUAUACUGCUCCUACAUAGUUUAUGUGGUAUAUGUGUUGAGUUCCUCCUCUCUUGCUAAAUGAUGAUCUUUUGAACCAAGAUUUUGCAUCUUAUAAAGAAGUGA
rnacentral:lncRNA from 1 species